UACAGAGGCCCCGAGCAUUACCCGGAAUUACUGGGCGUAAAGGGUGCGUAGGUGGUCGUGUUAGUCGUUCGUUAAAACCCCCGGCUCACCGGGGAUCUGCGAGCGAAACGACACGACUAGAGAGCGUGAGAGGUCCGUGGAACUCUAGGGUGUAGGGGUGAAAUCCGGUUGAUGAUCUAGGGGGAACACCGAAAGCGGAAGGCAGCGG
rnacentral:rRNA from 1 species